rnacentral:rRNA from 1 species
UAGCAUAUCAAUAAGCGGAGGAAAAGAAACCAACAGGGAUUGCCUUAGUAACGGCGAGUGAAGCGGCAAAAGCUCAAAUUUGAAAUCUGGCACCUUCGGUGUCCGAGUUGUAAUUUGAAGAAGGUAACUUUGGAGUCAGCUCUUGUCUAUGUUCCUUGGAACAGGACGUCACAGAGGGUGAGAAUCCCGUGCGAUGAGAUGUCUGAUUCUAUGUAAAGUGCUUUCGAAGAGUCGAGUUGUUUGGGAAUGCAGCUCUAAGUGGGUGGUAAAUUCCAUCUAAAGCUAAAUAUUGGCGAGAGACCGAUAGCGAACAAGUACAGUGAUGGAAAGAUGAAAAGAACUUUGAAAAGAGAGUGAAAAAGUACGUGAAAUUGUUGAAAGGGAAGGGUUUGAGAUCAGACUUGGUAUUUUGUAUGUCUUGCUUUCGGGUGGGGCCUCUACAGUUUACUGGGCCAGCAUCGGUUUGGACGGUAGGAUAAUGACAUUGGAAUGUGGCACCACUUCGGUGGUGUGUUAUAGACUUUGUUGAUACUGCCUGUCUAGACCGAGGACUGCGUCUUUGACUAGGAUGCUGGCAUAAUGAUCUUAAACCGCCCGUCUUGAAACACGGACCAAGGAGUCUAACGUCUAUGCGAGUGUUUGGGUGUAAAACCCGUACGCGUAAUGAAAGUGAACGUAGGUGAGAGCUCUUUUGAGUGCAUCAUCGACCGAUCCUGAUGUCUUCGGAUGGAUUUGAGUAAGAGCAUAGCUGUUGGGACCCGAAAGAUGGUGAACUAUGCCUGAAUAGGGUGAAGCCAGAGGAAACUCUGGUGGAGGCUCGUAGCGGUUCUGACGUGCAAAUCGAUCGUCGAAUUUGGGUAUAGGGCGAAAGACUAAUCGAACCAUC